rnacentral:lncRNA from 1 species
CCAGGAACACAUUUAUUAUCAUUAUCACGUAUUGUGUAUUGUACAGAAUGGUGUGUGCUGUGCUAUCCAGGAACACAUUUAUUAUCAUUAUCAAGUAUUGUGUACUGUACAGAAUGGUGUGCGCUGUGCUUUUAUGCAAGUGGCAGCACAGUAGCUUUACACGAGCAUCACUAGACACAUGAGUAGCAUUGCACUCGGCAACAGGAAUUUUUUCAGGCCCAUUAUUAUAAUCUUAUGGGACCGCAUCCUAUAUGCAGUUUGUCAUUGACCAAAAUGUCCUUAUGCGAUGCAUGACUAUAUUUGCAAAGGACUAGUAUCUAGAAUACAUUUAAAAGUCUUAAAAUAGUAACAAAACAAAGAAUGCAAUUAGAACAUGAGCAAAAGAUACAAAGCAACAUUUCACUGGAGAAGAUAUACAGAUUGCAAAUAAGCACAUGAAAAGAUGUUUGAUACCAUUAGGGAAACGCUUCUUUAAACCAGGAGAUAUCACCACGUGUUAGAAUCAACAAAAUAAGGCCAGGCAUGGUGGCUCACACCUGUAAUCCCAACACUUUGGGAGGCUGGGGCAGGCAGAUCACAUGAGAUCAGGAAUUCAAGACCAACCUGGCCAACAUGGCAAAACCCUGUCUCUGCUGAAAACACAAAAAUUAGCCAGGUGUGGUGGCACACGCCUGUAGUCCUAGCACCUUGGGAGGCUGAGGCAAGAUAAUUGCUUAAACCCAGGAGACGGAGGUUGCAGUAAGCUGAGAUCAUGCCACUGCGCUCCAGCCUGGGCGACAGAGCAAGAUUAUGUCUCAAAAAAAAAAAAAAAAAAAAGAAUCACCAAAAUAAAAAAUAGUAACAAUACUAUUGUCAAGGAUGCAAAGGAACUGUACCACUCAAUCACUGCUGUGAGAAUUUAAAGUGGUGCAGCCACUCUGGGAAACAGCUUGGCUGUUUUUUUUUAUGACUGAAUGUGCAACUACUAUAUGAUGCAGUAAUUUCAUUUUUGCACAUUUAUCCCGGAGAAAUGAAAACAUAUAUUCACACAAAACCUGUAUAUGAAUGCUAAUAAAAGUCAAUUGGCCAGGUGUGGUGGCUCAUGCCUGUAAUCCCAGCACUUUGGGAGGCUGAGGCAGUGGAUCACCUGAGGUCAGGAGUUUGAGACCAGCCUGGCCAACGUGGUGAAAACUCGUCUCUACUAAAAAUACAGCAAUUAGCUGGGUGUAAUAGUAGCCACCUGUAAUCCCAGCUACUGGGGAGGCUGAAGCAGAAGAACCUCUUGAACCCGGGAGGCAGAGGUUGCAGUGAGCUGAGAUCGUACCACUGCACUCCAGCCUGGGCGAUAGAGUGAGACUCUGUCUCAAAAAAUAAAAUAAAAUAAAUAAAAAGAUUAGAUAAUCUGCAAAGUUCCUGUGAGCGCUGUCAUUUUGUCACUCUGGUUUUUCAGAUUCUUCCCCUGGAGGCUGGAGUUUCCAGGAUGUCAAAAUUACCUCUGCUUGGGUGAGCUAUUUCAAGCAGCUGGGAUACCUGUGUCACUCCUGCUGUCUGCCAGUGACUGCCCAGGUGUCUGCUGGUUCCUCCCCAGGAGUAGGGAGGAACCAGGUGGGCUGGCUGGGAUGGGUGGAUAUUUAAAGACCAGGCCUUGGACGCUGCAGCACUUCUAUCUCUGCUUGAUGCCUGCUGCCACGUGGCUGGUCCUCCUCCUCCUGCUGUGGCUGAGCCUUGGGGUGAAGACAGCUGCUCCCAACCCCAGAACCUUUGCUGUCUUGGGACGGAUCACCGCUGCAAGAGGGGAAGUUGCUACUGUGAUGAAUUCUGCCAUGUGGCACCAGACUGCCACCCAGACCACAGUGUCCUCUGCAACCCUGGUAACUCACAUACAGGCCCGAUUCCACCUACAGCAAAGCUGGAUGCGAUGGCUGGCAGAGGCAAACCCUUUGCCUGCACUUCAGGCCAAAGCCGGGAUGUGGCCUAGAUGGUUCCUAAGGUCCCUGACAAUCCUGAGAUCUUGCAUCUUGUCUAUUUCAGGUCAAAGGUGCCUACAUGCUCCUUCUAGCUUUGUUUCCCUGAUGUUCCUUGCCACCUGCUACUCCUCUCUGAGCUACUUUUCCAGGUUCCACAGGGAGAGGUUCAGCUGUCCGUGGUAGACAUGAGGGUAGAGAAUGAGGUGGUUGGGUUCCACUUACCUUUCUAUCAUCUUGCAGUAUGGAUGUCUCUUGACUGGUACCGUGUAGACUUUUGAGGGCACACAGGAGUCUGCAGAGAGAUACUGGGGACAUUGAGCAGCAGCAGUGGGGUUGGGAGGCAGAAAUGAGGACAGGAACAUUUACCUUGUGUUUCUCUCAGCUUCUCAGAUGACCAAGAUGGUGCUGCAGAUGGUGCUGAGGAUGGAGAACCCACCAAGCCCCGCUAGGAGCCACCUAGACUGGAUGCAGAGCAUGGUUCAGUGAGUUCUCCAAACCAGCCUCCCAGGAAUGCCAUUCAACAUGGCUGUGAGGAGAAUAAAGAAGAGAGCCUGACUCCUCUCCUGAGGCCCCUUCCCCACCCUGAGCCAGCAGGAUCCACGGAGCAGAGGUCAUCUGUCCCCAGCUUGGCCCACUGAGGCCAGCAUGGCUGGGCCCAGGAUGCUUGUCUCUCAGCUCCCAUCCUGUGUACUUCCACAUUGGUUUAACCAGAGGAAAACCGAAAUCUACAAUUGUCAUAAACACAUUUAAAUGUGCGUAGAAUCAGCCAUACAAAUUGUGAAACAU